AGAACGAACGCUGGCGGCAUGCCUAACACAUGCAAGUCGAACGAGACCCCAACUUCGGUUGGACGUCUAGUGGCGCACGGGUGCGUAACGCGUGGGAAUCUGCCCUUCGGUUCGGAAUAACUCGGAGAAAUCCGUGCUAAUACCGGAUAAUGACGUAAGUCCAAAGAUUUAUCGCCGAGGGAUGAGCCCGCGUAGGAUUAGCUUGUUGGUGAGGUAAAGGCUCACCAAGGCGACGAUCCUUAGCUGGUCUGAGAGGAUGAUCAGCCACACUGGGACUGAGACACGGCCCAGACUCCGUACGGGAGCAGCGAGG
rnacentral:rRNA from 1 species